rnacentral:rRNA from 1 species
UACGGAGGGGGCUAGCGUUGUUCGGAAUUACUGGGCGUAAAGCGCACGUAGGCGGCUUUACAAGUCAGAGGUGAAAGCCCGGGGCUCAACUCCGGAACUGCCUUUGAGACUGUUAAGCUUGAAAUAAUUGGAGGCUGCCGGAAUGGAUGGUGUAGCGGUGAAAUGCAUAGAUAUGUCACAGAACACCAAUUGCGAAGGCAGCUUACUAAAGUAUGAUUGACGCUGAGGCACGAAAGCGUGGGGAUCAAACAGG